UACGUAGGUGACAAGCGUUGUCCGGAUUUACUGGGCGUAAAGAGCGCGCAGGCGGUCGGUCAAGUCGAGUGUGAAAGCCCCCGGCUCAACUGGGGAGGGUCAUUCGAUACUGAUCGACUCGAAGGCAGGAGAGGGUAGUGGAAUUCCAGGUGUAGCGGUGAAAUGCGUAGAUAUCAGGAGGAACACCGGUGGCGAAGGCGGGUCUCUGGGCCGAUACUGACGCUGAGGAGCGAAAGCGUGGGGAGCGAACAGG
rnacentral:rRNA from 1 species